GGCUACACACGUGCUACAAUGGGUAGUACAGAGAGUCGCAAAGCCGUGAGGUGGAGCUAAUCUCAGAAAACUAUUCUUAGUUCGGAUUGUACUCUGCAACUCGAGUACAUGAAGUUGGAAUCGCUAGUAAUCGCGAAUCAGCAAUAUCGCGGUGAAUACGUUCUCGGGUCUUGUACACACCGCCCGUCACACCACGAGAGUUGGUUGCACCUGAAGUAGCAGGCCUAACCGUAAGGAGGGAUGCUCCGAGGGUGUGAUUAGCGAUUGGGGUGAAGUCGUAACAAGGUAUCCGUACGGGAACGU
rnacentral:rRNA from 1 species